UUAAUGCACACCUUGAUAACCCUUUACAACAUAAUUAGGUGUAAACUACGGAUUUUUGUCGUCCAUCACUUCAAAGGUCUGUUUUGUCUGGUGUGUUCUAAGUGCACCCUACUUAGCUAUGGUGCAUUCUCAACCAUGUAGACAGUGGAGGUUAUGUACAGACUAUAUCAAAUGAGGGUCACCACUAAAGUCGCCACCAAAGCUGCUGAGAAACGACCAGAAGCGGCCGCAGACGUGGAUACGGAUUUGUUUGUCUGGAUGUUAAACUGAGUAUUGUGUUGUCAUUCAAUAUGCUCUUCUUAUCAAGAACAUGUUUUAAUUUUUAACUGAAAAAGUUAUCUGUGGGACACUUUAAAAGGAUGUUGGAUAAAUGAAAUUAUUAGAUUCAUGUUCUACAUUCUGACCUCUCAUCUCAUCAGAGGUAAUCGUCUUUCAGGGGGAUCCCUCAAAAUGAUGAUUACAACAUUGAUAACCCUCAUGACCUUCUCCCCGAAUAACAGCAAUACCAUGUGUUUCUGAAGUGACUGAUGCCCUGAUAUGGAGUGUCUGCUAUAGGGGCUGAAAGAGGCCUUUCCGCUUUUUUCAACCAUGGCAAUCAAACGGCAAAGUAGGUUCUCUU
ensembl:lncRNA